CUCAGGACAGGGGCCAGGGCUGGAGUUGGGACUGGAUUCAGAGAGAGAGUCAACGUCGGCAGAGCGAGAAUGGCAGGCCCAGCAGAGGAUGACCCAGAGCAGCAGCAGCAAGAAGCCCACGAGACCGUUGCAGACGAUGGCGAUGAGGGCCCCCUGGGAGAUGGCUGCCCCCAUGACAGGCAGCACCCUCAGACCAGCACAGACAGUGGAGCUGCCUCAAUGGCCAGUGAUUGUCACCUAUUCUGAUCCGGCCGUCUUCUCAUCCCGCUCUACAUGCUCUCCUUGGAGGAUCACAUCCCUGAAGCUAUAUCAUGAAGACUCCCAGUGCUCCCAAGUCUAGCCUUAACUUCUCUCUGGAAUCCUAGACUCAUAUAACUAAGUGCCUACUGUAAUCGGGGCAGUAUUGAUUCCUGGUUCACUUACUAACUUUGUGAUCUUGAGCAAGUUACUAAAUCUCUCUUAGCCUCAGCUUCCUCAUCUGUAAAAUGGUUGUAAUGCUACCUCUCAGGGUUGUUAUUCACUAAUUUAUAGCAGAUCGAUCACAUCUCAGCAAAUGCCAGCUGACACAACCCCCAGGACCAUGUGACUAAGAGGCCCCUUCCCCCAAUCCAAUGCCAUGAAAUUCACAUAAGACCCCUGUAAAUCCAGAUGCUAUCUUGAAAGAAGAAAGGGAAGACUGAGUCAUCCAAAGCUACCAAAGUACUUAGAGACUGUCUAAAAUAAAUUAUUGGA
rnacentral:lncRNA from 1 species